rnacentral:rRNA from 1 species
CAUGCAAGUCGAACGGCAGCACGGGAGCAAUCCUGGUGGCGAGUGGCGAACGGGUGAGUAAUACAUCGGAACGUGCCCAAUCGUGGGGGAUAACGCAGCGAAAGCUGUGCUAAUACCGCGUAAGAUCUAAGGAUGAAAGCAGGGGACCGCAAGGCCUUGCGCGAAUGGAGCGGCCGAUGGCAGAUUAGGUAGUUGGUGAGGUAAAGGCUCACCAAGCCUUCGAUCUGUAGCUGGUCUGAGAGGACGACCAGCCACACUGGGACUGAGACACGGCCCAGACUCCUACGGGAGGCAGCAGUGGGGAAUUUUGGACAAUGGGCGCAAGCCUGAUCCAGCCAUGCCGCGUGCAGGAUGAAGGCCUUCGGGUUGUAAACUGCUUUUGUACGGAACGAAAAGGUUCUUUCUAAUAAAGAGAGCUCAUGACGGUACCGUAAGAAUAAGCACCGGCUAACUACGUGCCAGCAGCCGCGGUAAUACGUAGGGUGCAAGCGUUAAUCGGAAUUACUGGGCGUAAAGCGUGCGCAGGCGGUGAUGUAAGACAGUUGUGAAAUCCCCGGGCUCAACCUGGGAACUGCAUCUGUGACUGCAUCGCUGGAGUACGGUAGAGGGGGAUGGAAUUCCGCGUGUNCAUGAAUGCNUNAUAUGCGGAGGAACACCGAUGGCGAAGGUAAUCCUCUUGAUCUGUACUGACNCUCU